CACCAUAAGAAAUUAUUUAUGGCAUCUCCUGCUCAAUGUAAUAUAAAUAGCCGCAAUUUUGUGCUAAGGUAGCAUAAUAACCUGUUCUUUAAUUAAGAAAUAGAAUGAAAGGACAAACGAUUUUAACUCUAUCUUUAAAAUACUAAUUUAAAUUAUUUUAAUAGUAAAAAUACUAUUAUAAUAUAAGAAGACGACAAGACCCUAUGAACUUAAAUAUUUAACUGGGGUAGUAAUAUAACUAAAAUUUAUAAUAUAAAUAACUAUUUAAGCUAUUAAGAAAAUAAACAAAGUUACCAUAGGGAUAACAGCGUUAUAUAUAUUUAAAGACCAUAUAAAAAUAUAUUAAUGCGACCUCGAUGUUGAAUAUUAAUUCUACAAUAAGUAUAAUUAUUGAGUAGAAAGUCUGUUCGACUUUUAAACUAUUACA
rnacentral:rRNA from 1 species